AUACGAAGGGUGCAAGCGUUACUCGGAAUUACUGGGCGUAAAGCGUGCGUAGGUGGUUGUUUAAGUCUGUCGUGAAAGCCCUGGGCUCAACCUGGGAAUGGCGAUGGAAACUGGGCGACUAGAGUGUGGCAGAGGGUAGUGGAAUUCCUGGUGUAGCAGUGAAAUGCGUAGAGAUCAGGAGGAACAUCCGUGGCGAAGGCGACUGCCUGGGCCAACACUGACACUGAGGCACGAAAGCGUGGGGAGCAAACAGGAUUAGAUACCCUGGUAGUCCACGCCCUAAACGAUGCGAACUGGAUGUUGGGUGCAAUUUGGCACGCAGUACCGAAGCUAACGCGUUAAGUUCGCCGCCUGGGGAGUACGGUCGCAAGACUGAAACUCAAAUGAAUUGACGGGG
rnacentral:rRNA from 1 species